CCAUGUGGAUGUUUAAUCGUGUGUACGCUGUGCCGAGAGAAAAUGUCGUGCCCCUUGUGUGCUUUGAUGAUCACCUUACCCCUGGGACCGCGUAACGUAGCUCGCAGUACCUUUCGCGUGGUUCGCCGAUGUCGAUUAUCGUAGCUAUGGCCCGCUUGCGCUUUCUUUGUUCCCGGCCUCUGAUAAUAUCGCAUCGGAUCACAGUGCACGGAAGAAUUUGUUGAGCUAUUACGUGCUGUAGUUCAUCCGCAAUUCAACAGUGUUUACGUCGGAAGGAUCGUCGUGCAGUCGACGCCGCGACCUGACAUGAAGGAGCGUUUUCCGACUACGCCUAGAAAGGGAUGUCAAGAUUUCGUGAACCAGAGGCAUCUCUACACCGCAUAGGAACCUAAGACAUUUCUGCAGCCGGAACAGCACGGCAAAUCAUCUGAUCUGCAUGCUGCGACAAGGUAUGGCUCGGCCUGGUGAUGAAGUGUAAGCAGAACAUGCUAUGCUGCGAAUUGGUGCCAAUCUUCACAUCCGAGUUGUUCCCACGACAGUCAAGCACUACUGUGAUUUGCUUCAUUGGCAAGGUGCCCUGCAAGCUCUCACCAAAGCAACACAUUCCACUGGUUUUCUGUCAGAGUACCAUUAUAGAAUUUCGAAUAAACUAUGCUUGUCAGAUGUGCGACAUGCCCCGUCUUAAAAUCAGAGCGCUUCAGUAAUAAUGUUUGAAUGGGUGUACAUAAAAACACACGUAAAGUAUACUUAUGUCUUUCUUUUACAAGUCCUCUUCACCCGACGUUUUUCCAACUUAAAAUUACGCUUUGCUGUACAUUUGUUUUAUGCACAAACCAUUACAGCAACACAACACUG